rnacentral:lncRNA from 1 species
AAACGCCAUGCCGCGAGCCCGCCGGGUGUACAAGUCAGCUGCAGCCGCAUCCGAGUCCCAUGACAGGGGCACACCCAGGUGCGUCACGGCGCCAGUGGUAAACGGCACCCCCGUGUGUGGGCAAGGGCCCGUCAGGUGCGCAAACCUGCCAAGGAAUAAUAAUAAUAAUACCUACGCUCGGACCAAGGUCCCGCGUGCCUUAAGGAAGAGUCCCAUCGAGGCUAACCCUACCGUAUCUCUGUGGGACCUUGGCAAGAGGCACCCCACGCAUCCACCUUCACUCAGUCCAUAGGAACCGAAGUUCUGGACCUAUCGGCCUACCAACUCUCCGAAUUCGGCCAUCGUGAAGUUUCCGCGUUGCAACAAUGGGAUCCGAACCCAGAGAGUCGCUACAACGCUUCCGUCAGUACCGCGGACUCCAUACCGGAAUACUGACUCGGUUCCCCGGGCAGGAUCCGAACCUGCAUCUAUACUUGUCAGCCUCAACCCGGCCGAAUCCGUGAAUCGAACCUGGGUCUGCCAUGUGACAGCGGCAUGCUCUACCAAUUGAGCUACCGGGGAACCUGCCAAGGCCCAUGGCCU